UAGAACGCGAUUUUAUGGUCAUUUUCUACCAAUUAUGUCAUUAUCUAUCAAAAUCCCAACUUAUAAACCAAUUAAAACCAAAGUUCAAAUUUUCCUAAAAUUUCCGAUUAAUUGCGAAUUAAGCAAACAAAUGAUUUGUAAAGGAAUUAGAAAGGGAUAGUCAGCCGACCUCGUUGGUGUCAGUCACCGGAAUCGUUCGAGGGGUCCGGAGUUGAUCAUCGCAACCUCUCUGUCUCCCUCUCUCUUUCUGUCGUGCGAGAAGUAGGCCAAGAGCACGGAAUGGGUCGGAUGGUUAUAACGGUAGGGACUAGAAGCGAGGUUCAGGUGGCGCGAAUGGCGUUCCUUGCUGUUGAUCGGUCUGAAAAUGCGGCAGGAGGGGCUGAGGGUGCUGCGAUCGCAGCUUCCUGCGACAGCCGCGCUAGCUACGCUAGCCUGAGACAACAGAGGUAAGGGCGAAGGAGAGCGGCACGGGAACGGCAGCGGGAGGCGAUGGGAAUGGCGCUGGCUUCAGGUGACCGGAAAG